GAUGAAGAACGCAGCGAAAUGCGACAAGUAAUGUGAAUUGCAGAAUUCCGUGAAUCAUCGAAUCUUUGAACGCACAUUGCGCCUUCUAGUAUUCUGGGAGGCAUGCCUGUUUGAGCGUCAUUAAACCUCUCUCAAGUAUGAUUACUUGGAUGUGAAGGAAGAGUACCUUAAACUUAAGGAGUGUUCUCCUUUGAAAUUGAUUAGCAGAUGGUAAUGUUAUUAAAUCCCUGAUGUUGUAAGAAAUAACAGUGGUUUUGUAGACUAUUAUCUAGCUUUAAAUUAUAAUUUUUAUUAUGGUUGACCUCAAAUCAGGUAAGGAUACCCGCUGAACUUAAGCAUAUCAAUAAGCGGAGGA
rnacentral:misc_RNA from 1 species